rnacentral:rRNA from 1 species
UACUCGAGUGGCGAACGGGUGAGUAACGCGUGGGUGAUCUGCCCUGCACUUCGGGAUAAGCCUGGGAAACUGGGUCUAAUACCGGAUAGGAGCCAUUUUUAGUGUGAUGGUUGGAAAGUUUUUUCGGUGUAGGAUGAGCUCGCGGCCUAUCAGCUUGUUGGUGGGGUAAUGGCCUACCAAGGCGGCGACGGGUAGCCGGCCUGAGAGGGUGGACGGCCACAUUGGGACUGAGAUACGGCCCAG